GGUGCUUUGGUGAUGUGGAUCUGCCCUGGGGCAGGAAAGGGGAAGCGGAGGCCAGCGUGGUGGCUCAAACCUGUAAUCUCAGCACUUUGGGAGGCAGAGCCAUGUGGAUCACCUGAGGUCAUGAAGUGUGGAACUGAAGUGGCAUUGGGAAGGAGGUGACCCUGAGGCAAGAUGCUCUAAGCCCUCUGUCAUGACUGCAUAAGGGCUGCUGGAGGGCGCCUUGGCUGUGCCGCAGUGUUAGUGCUGGGAAAGCGCCCACUGUUUAGCCAGCUAGGAAAGGAGACGUCCAAAAUGGCCAAGACAUCUUCUUCUUGGGGGAGUUGGGAGAAAACUCCGCUUCUCUAAGCUCUUGUGGUAGGCCUGACGGCUAUCAGGAAAACUCACGGACAUCCGGGGGGCUUAAUUGUCUCUAUGUGAUGCUGGGCUUCAGUGGUCACAUCCCAUGUCUACUUUCAUGUUCUGCUCCUGUACCUGGUUCCUCUUUUUCUUAGAAGAUAAGAAUUAGUAAUAGUUACAUAAAUCUUAAUGCCCUUGAUAUUUUUGACAAGUAUGCAAAAAGUGCUGAUGCAUUAAGUUUUCUCCUCGCCUUGGUUACUUGAAAGUCCCAGGCCCCAUCUCCAAGACAUGUGAUUUACUUGAUCCUAUCACUGACCACCAAUGCCUCGCCCUAGCCACCCUGCUCCCUGCUUUGUACUCAAUAAAAUCAGGGCGUCCAGGCACUUGGGGCCACUGCCAGACUGCACUUUGGUUGGCAGUGGACCCUUGGGCCCAAAUUCUGUUUUCUCUUUC